UGGCUCAGUGGAUAGAGCAUCAGGCUGUGGACUGAAGGGUCCUGGGUUCGAUUCCCGG
rnacentral:tRNA from 1 species